GAUGAACGCUGGCGGCGUGCCUAAUACAUGCAAGUCGAGCGAACAGAUGAGGAGCUUGCUCCUCUGACGUUAGCGGCGGACGGGUGAGUAACACGUGGAUAACCUACCUAUAAGACUGGGAUAACUUCGGGAAACCGGAGCUAACACCGGAUAAUAUAUUGAACCGCAUGGUUCAAUAGUGAAAGACGGUUUUGCUGUCACUUAUAGAUGGAUCCGCGCCGCAUUAGCUAGUUGGUAAGGUAACGGCUUACCAAGGCAACGAUGCGUAGCCGACCUGAGAGGGUGAUCGGCCACACUGGAACUGAGACACGGUCCUGACUCCUACGGGAGGCAGCAGUAGGGAAUCUUCCGCAAUGGGCGAAAGCCUGACGGAGCAACGCCGCGUGAGUGAUGAAGGUCUUCGGAUCGUAAAACUCUGUUAUUAGGGAAGAACAAAUGUGUAAGUAACUAUGCACGUCUUGACGGUACCUAAUCAGAAAGCCACGGCUAACUACGUG
rnacentral:rRNA from 1 species